GGAUUUGAUGCAUGUUUAGGCUAGUUGUAAAAUAUUAGGGUUUAUGUUAGUUUAAUGGUAGAUGUAUGUUUAUGUGAUGCUAUGUUGAUGUUUGUUGGGGUUUAGGCUAGUUUUAUGCCCCUAUAUGCUUGAUGAUGUGUUUAUGCAUGCUUUUGAGUGUUGAGUAUGAGUUUGGAGGGUUUUAGGAGGAUAAAUGUGAGAGGUGAAUCGGGUUCUGCCAUUCUGGAUAACCCAGGUUCAGCUGCCGAAACUAUGUUCGGCCGCCGAACCUGCCUGUGGAGGCAGUUUUAGGCCGCCUAAACUUGCCCCCGAAAGUUGGACUUUCGGCUUUUGAGGGGAGUUUCGGCUGCCGAACCUGCCCCCGAAGGUUGGUGACUUUCGGCUCUGGAGGGAGUUUCGGUCGCCGAACAUGCCCUCGAAAGUGCCUGACUUUCGGAUCUGGAGGGACCUUCGGCCGCCGAACCUACCGCCGAAAGUCCCCUGCCCAGCUUUCCUUUGCCUAUUUUUCCAUGCAUGUUUAUGGUGUUUUAGGGGGUUUUUGGGAAGAUGUUUAGAGUCAUGUUAGAGUAUAUUUGGUCCUUCAUUUGAGUCCACCUGUGUAGGAACGGACUUGAGGAAUCGAGGUGAUCAGCAGUGAGAUAGCUGCUUCAGAGUUAGUUCAGAGUCAGCCAGAGCUGAGUAGAACUAAACUAAUCUUUUAUUUUAAGAAAUCAAAUGUUUUUAAGCAUGUUCAUGCAUUAUGUAUAUGAAAUAGGUUGGAUACAUUAGAUUUCACGAAUAUGUCGCAUUGCAUUAUUUAUUGUGGGUGUGGAUGGACAACAGGACGACCCAUUAGCCCUCUAGAUAUUAUGUUAUGUAAUACAAGUCUUGAGGAGUCCCACCGAGGGCCGGGCACAGAGCUUAUGUAUGUAAUAGAAGUCCUGAGGAGCUCCACCGAGGGCCGGGCACAGAGUAGAGGGAUUUUUUUUAUCAGUCCAUCCGUGAUGUGAUUUGUUUGUGAUGUGAUACAUUUCAUGAAAGCAUAUGUUUAUUAAAUUGUUUUUACUAUUCUGCUCACUGGGCUUUUGAAGCUCACCCCUUUCCCAAUCCCCUAGGUUUGUAGGUUCAGGAUAGACCGGAAAGUCGUCAAGGUUGAAGGUUGUGUUAAGUGUAAUAGAUUAGUAGUUGAUAUGUAAUGUAAAAUGAUAUAAUGUAAUGUUUUGUAGAGAUAUGUUUCAUGGUUUAGUGAUGAGAAAUGUUGACCC
rnacentral:lncRNA from 1 species